UGGCGGCUGCUUUACACAUGCAAGUCUGAACUGUAACAGGGAGCUUGCUCCGCUGACGAGUGGCGAACGGGUGAGUAAUAUAUCGGAACGUACCCAAGAGUGGGGGAUAACGUAGCGAAAGUUACGCUAAUACCGCAUACGAUCCAAGGAUGAAAGCAGGGGACCGCAAGGCCUUGUGCUCCUGGAGCGGCCGAUAUCUGAUUAGCUAGUUGGUAGGGUAAAGGCCUACCAAGGCAUCGAUCAGUAGCUGGUCUGAGAGGACGACCAGCCACACUGGAACUGAGACACGGUCCAGACUCCUACGGGAGGCAGCAGUGGGGAAUUUUGGACAAUGGGCGCAAGCCUGAUCCAGCAAUGCCGCGUGAGUGAAGAAGGCCUUCGGGUUGUAAAGCUCUUUUGUCAGGGAAGAAACGGGUGCGGCUAAUAUCUGCAUCUAAUGACGGUACCUGAAGAAUAAGCACCGGCUAACUACGUGCCAGCAGCCGCGGUAAUACGUAGGGUGCAAGCGUUAAUCGGAAUUACUGGGCGUAAAGCGUGCGCAGGCGGUUUUGUAAGUCUGUUGUGAAAUCCCCGGGCUUAACCUGGGAAUGGCAAUGGAGACUGCAAGGCUAGAGUUUGGCAGAGGGGGGUAGAAUUCCACGUGUAGCAGUGAAAUGCGUAGAGAUGUGGAGGAACACCGAUGGCGAAGGCAGCCCCCUGGGUCAAGACUGACGCUCAUGCACGAAAGCGUGGGGAGCAAACAGGAUUAGAUACCCUGGUAGUCCACGCCCUAAACGAUGUCUACUAGUUGUCGGGUCUUAAUUGACUUGGUAACGCAGCUAACGCGUGAAGUAGACCGCCUGGGGAGUACGGUCGCAAGAUUAAAACUCAAAGGAAUUGACGGGGACCCGCACAAGCGGUGGAUGAUGUGGAUUAAUUCGAUGCAACGCGAAAAACCUUACCUACCCUUGACAUGUACGGAAGCCACGAGAGAUCGAGGUGUGCUCGAAAGAGAACCGUAACACAGGUGCUGCAUGGCUGUCGUCAGCUCGUGUCGUGAGAUGUUGGGUUAAGUCCCGCAACGAGCGCAACCCUUGUCAUUAGUUGCUACGAAAGAGCACUCUAAUGAGACUGCCGGUGACAAACCGGAGGAAGGUGAGGAUGACGUCAAGUCCUCAUGGCCCUUAUGGGUAGGGCUUCACACGUCAUACAAUGGUACA
rnacentral:rRNA from 1 species